rnacentral:lncRNA from 1 species
UAAAAGUGGAUUUCAGCCCUACAGGAUGCAUGUUAGGAGCUGGACUGGAUUGGCAGAGAUUUACAGGCAGUAAAUUAAUUACUUGGGCAGUACAAAUAAGGAAUGGAGAAGAAGCUGAAUGAUGGAUUGAAGACCUUUCAGAGGUCUACAGCCUUGUAUCUACUUUGCCUUGGUUGGGUGUUCUGGGAACCUCCUACCAAGAUUUCCUGUUGCCUCCAUUUUAGAGCAUUUUCUCCAAUGGCUGGAAGUUAGUAGGACCCAGCAGAUGCUGCUGCCUGAGUUCAGUCAGCAGAGUAACACUGUGAUUCCUUCCAGCUUCUUUGCUUGUACAUCAAGAGGAAGGAGGAUGCUAACUUUAUAACUUCUCCCCGUUGUGCCCCAGAGGUUAGGCACCUUGCCAUAUACAGAUGUUAUCAAAAGUGGAAUAAUUUUAUAAAUGAACUGUGAAAUAACAACAGUCUACAUAAAUGUAUGCUUUGGUUCAAG